GUGCCAGCAGCCGCGGUAAUACGGGGGGUGCAAGCGUUGUUCGGAAUUACUGGGCGUAAAGCGCGUGUAGGCGGCCCUGCAAGUCAGAUGUGAAAGCCCUCGGCUUAACCGGGGAAGUGCAUCUGAAACUGCUUGGCUUGAGUACUGGAGAGGAAGGCGGAAUUCCCAGUGUAGAGGUGAAAUUCGUAGAUAUUGGGAGGAACACCGGUGGCGAAAGCGGCCUUCUGGACAGAUACUGACGCUGAGACGCGAAAGCGUGGGGAGCAAACAGGAUUAGAAACCCGGGUAGUCC
rnacentral:rRNA from 1 species